AGUGUUUCUGAUUUGCUGGACUAUAUUAAUCCAAGCCGUGACACCAAGGGGAGAGAUUUUGUAUCCGUAAAGAGGAAAAGUUAUAUUACAAAGAUAAAGGGAAAACCAAUCCAAAUGUGAAUUUAGCAAGUAUUGAUGAAUCUCCGAAAGAGGCUCUCAAAGAGGCUUCAGAUGAAGAGAUGCACAAACCUGUUGCUACCCAGGAGACUAGCUCUGCCCAAGUUCAGUUCCAGCAACCCAUUGUGGAAGAGACUGCUGAGAAGAAA
rnacentral:misc_RNA from 1 species